AUUGAACGCUGGCGGCAGGCCUAACACAUGCAAGUCGAACGGUAACAGGAAGAAGCUUGCUUCUUUGCUGACGAGUGGCGGACGGGUGAGUAAUGUCUGGGAAACUGCCUGAUGGAGGGGGAUAACUACUGGAAACGGUAGCUAAUACCGCAUAACGUCGCAAGACCAAAAAGGGGGACCUUCGGGCCUCUUGCCAUCGGAUGUGCCCAGAUGGGAUUAGCUAGUAGGUGGGGUAACGGCUCACCUAGGCGACGAUCCCUAGCUGGUCUGAGAGGAUGACCAGCCACACUGGAACUGAGACACGGUCCAGACUCCUACGGGAGGCAGCAGUGUGGAAUAUUGCACAAUGGGCGCAAGCCUGAUGCAGCCAUGCCGCGUGUAUGAAGAAGGCCUUCGGGUUGUAAAGUACUUUCAGCGGGGAGGAAGGGAGUAAAGUUAAUACCUUUGCUCAUUGACGUUACCCGCAGAAGAAGCACCGGCUAACUCCGUG
rnacentral:rRNA from 1 species